GUCUCUUCUUCUGUCAUCCCAGUGCCCAGACACUGGGAUCCAGACAAUUUAAUUGCAAAUGAGUACAUCAAAUGGCAGUGUAAUAAAAACUGGAUUCCAGUGUCAAGCACUGGAAUGACACCAGAACGAACUA
rnacentral:ncRNA from 1 species